UAUUUCCAGUCUAAGGCCUGAAGGGUAAGUAGGCAUUAACCAAGUGAAGGGAAGGAAGGUAUGAACAUGGAGAAAGGACAUAAGAAGAGGAGAGGCAGAAGAAAUUGUAUAUGGAGGGCUGUACAGGAAGCAUGACUGGGAAGGCCUCAGGAAACUUACAAUCAUGGCAAAAGCAGGAAGAAGAAAGUGAAAUGAAAGGUGCCACACACUUUUAAACAACCAGAUCUCAGGAGGACUCGCUAUUAUGAGAACAGCAAGGGAGAAAUCCACCCCCAUGAUCCCAUCGCCUCCUACCAGGCCUCUCCUCCAACACUGGGGAUUACAAUUCAUUAUGGAGGAGGACACAAAUCCAAACCAUAUUACCAGGCUAGGCUGGAUUUUCCUUUCUCAUUCUGGUAUAGCGCCAUGUUCUUUUUUUUCAAAUUAAAAAAAGACAUGAUUUAUAA